rnacentral:lncRNA from 1 species
GAAGAUUAGCUCAUUUUUCAAGAAAUCUGUCCUUAAAAUGUUUACAAGGGAGUCUACAAAGGAAUUUUACUCACAAAAAAUAUGUCCAUAAAAAAUUCUCAGAAAAUUAGUUCAAAUGUUUAUGAUCUUUACUUGAAAGAAGAUAUGGGCAUAAGUGAUGUCUUCAAUUUGAAGAUGUGACCUCACAUCAUGCAUGUUACACCUACUAUUUAUCAUGAUAAAUUUCCUAUUUGCUUACCAGUUACGACAAACCUCAAGGAGGAGAUAGUACAUACCGUUGACUAUGAAGAGGUAACUUAAGGAAUAGUACUUAUCACAAGUUUUAAUGAAUGGAGAGGACAUCCUUGAAUUAAUUGUACUUAGACCAGAGAACUAACCUCAAGGGGCUCAACCCUAUCAUGCAUGCUACUUUCUUUGAUUUCAGCUCGAGAGAGAGCUGAGUUUUUUCCACCCAAGGAGAGUGAAUUCAGAGUGUAGAUAAUGAAUUCAUAGUGUAAGUUACUCUUUAAGAAUUAAAUUAUUCAGGAUUUUUCUUUUCUACCCGUAUUAACAGUAAUAUUUCUAAUUCUAUUAAUAUUAAUAUUUUCUAUCUAUUUAGAAUAAGUAUUUCUAAUCUUAUUAGUAUUAGUAUUUUCUAUCUUGUUAGGAAUAUUCUUCUAAUCUUAUUAGUUUUAGUAUUUCUUGACCUAAUAGUCCUACUCGGGAAAAACUUACUUGGCACUCUAUUGAUCUCUGUGGUACAUUAUUUAGUUAUUCAAUAAUGUACUUCUAUAAUUCCCUAAAACUCAUAUUAUGUGAUUUGAUCACUCCUUAGGCGUGAUAAGUAAGAACUCUAGGUAUGAUAUCCUGAUUUUUACUAGUUCUCAUGCUAUUUUAUACUGGUUCUCCAGAAGUUCUAGUUGAUUCUUGGAGUUCUCUAGCUUGAUCUAUCAAGAUCUUUUUUAAAAAAAAUUUAUUUGGUUAGAUUUGUACCUGAUAUUUUUUUCUAUAGAUGCAGAAACUAUAUUGAGAAAUAAGAGAAAAAAUACAAUGUAGAAUAAUAAGAAAUCCUACUCACGAAAUUACACAAAAAAUGGGAAUGAAAAAGCAGCGUUCCCCUCAU